CUCAAAAUAAUUUGUUUUCCCUAUCUCUAUUUCUCCUUGUUUUUCCAUGACUGUAAGUGUCUUUCAAGUUUCACUAGCCAAAUUCUCCGGAUCUGAUGUAAAAAGGAAAGAAACAUAAAAUUAAUUUCAUGGCAGAAAACGUAUGUUUUUGCACGUUCAAUUAUUUUCCAUCUCAAAAAUUUCUACUCUAAUGAGUGAAGAUACAUAUGUAACACUAAUUUUUAAGUUAUUAUUAGAGACUAACCUUUCUAGUUGAUGAAAAAUCUGAAAUGGCUGCUGUUUGUUUUUGUGUAUGACUAUAUUAACUUGAUAACAUAUGUGUGGAGGAGAAGAUAAAGAGAGAAGGGUUAGGCAGAAAAAUAUGUUUGGACUAGUCAUCACAUGCAGCAUUGAUUGUAAGAGUAUAAUGUGCCUUCCCCUUUCCAGCAAACUAUUAGCUUUGAUAAAAUUUGUGUGGAGGAGAAGAUACACAGAAAAGAG
rnacentral:lncRNA from 1 species